rnacentral:rRNA from 1 species
GGAUUAGAUACCCUGGUAGUCCAUGCCGUAAACGAUGUGUGCUAGACGUUGGAAAUAUAUUUUUCAGUGUCGCAGCGAAAGCAUUAAGCACACCGCCUGGGGAGUACGACCGCAAGGUUAAAACUCAAAUGAAUUGACGGGGACCCGCACAAGCAGUGGAGCAUGUGGUUUAAUUCGAAGAUACGCGCAGAACCUUACCAACGCUUGACAUGUUCGUCGCGAGACUAAGAGAUUAGUUUCUUCAGUUCGGCUGGACGAAACACAGGUGCUGCAUGGCUGUCGUCAGCUCGUGCCG